GCCAUUGUGCUAGCGGCUACAUCCGGGCUAAGACCCGAAGGCAUUCGUGCGAGUCGUUCUAUCCGGGCUAAGACCCGAAGGCAUUCGUGCACGUGGUUAUAUCCGGUUGUAUUCCGAAGAAGCUUGGGCUGGAGGUGAGUGUUGGUUGCUGUAAUGAAUUCAAUCGGUACGCUCGAAAAGCCCAAAGAAUAAGAUUUUGCUCGAUAGCAAUCGGAUUCGGGAUCAUUAAAGUCGAAGUCAUCUACACUAUCAAAGCCUCCAUUUUGGUAUAAUUUUUGGUUGAGCUUUGAAAUGGCAUGUAUAGGACUACCCCUUGUUGGUUUAAAUAUGUUGUGAUGUAUAUGUGUACGGCCAUGCGAAAAUGGCUCGUAAAAGUGAAGUACGAACUUAGACUAUUUGCGGUUUGUAUAUAUAUAUAUGGUGUCAUGAUGUGAUUAUGGAUUGGAAA